CACGUAGGAGCCAAGCGUUAUCCGAAUUCACUGGGCGUAAAGCGCGUGCAGGCGGCACGGCAAGUUGGAUGUGAAAGCUCCUGGCUCAACUGGGAGAGGACGUUCAAGACUGUCGAGCUAGAGGACGGCAGAGGGAGGUGGAAUUCCCGGUGUAGUGGUGAAAUGCGUAGAUAUCGGGAGGAACACCAGUGGCGAAGGCGGCCUUCUGGGCCGUACCUGACGCUCAGACGCGAAAGCUAGGGGAGCAAACGGG
rnacentral:rRNA from 1 species